rnacentral:rRNA from 1 species
GAUGAACGCUGGCGGCGUGCCUAAUACAUGCAAGUCGAGCGAAUGGAUUAAGAGCUUGCUCUUAUGAAGUUAGCGGCGGACGGGUGAGUAACACGUGGGUAACCUGCCCAUAAGACUGGGAUAACUCCGGGAAACCGGGGCUAAUACCGGAUAACAUUUUGAACCGCAUGGUUCGAAAUUGAAAGGCGGCUUCGGCUGUCACUUAUGGAUGGACCCGCGUCGCAUUAGCUAGUUGGUGAGGUAACGGCUCACCAAGGCAACGAUGCGUAGCCGACCUUAGAGUGUGAUCGGCCACACUGGGACUGAGACACGGCCCAGACUCCUACGGGAGGCAGCAGUAGGGAAUCUUCCGAAAUGGACGGAAGUCUGACGGAGCAACGCCGCGUGAGUGAUGAAGGCUUUCGGGUCGUAAAACUCUGUUGUUAGGGAAGAACAAGUGCUAGUUGAAUAAGCUGGCACCUUGACGGUACCUAACCAGAAAGCCACGGCUAACUACGUGCCAGCCGCCGCAGUAA